UACGGAGGGUGCGAGCGUUGUCCGGAAUCACUGGGCGUAAAGGGCGCGUAGGCGGUCUGCUAAGCGUGCGGUGAAAGCCUGGGGCUCAACCCCAGGUCUGCCGUGCGAACUGGUGGACUAGAGCACUGUAGAGGCGAGUGGAAUUCCGGGUGUAGCGGUGGAAUGCGUAGAGAUCCGGAAGAACACCGGUGGCGAAGGCGGCUCGCUGGGCAGUAGCUGACGCUGAUGCGCGACAGCGUGGGGAGCAAACAGG
rnacentral:rRNA from 1 species